rnacentral:rRNA from 1 species
AUAAGCGGAAGUUUACGGAUGGAAGGUUAUAUACUUAGUGGCGGACGGGUGAGUAACGCGUGGGCAACCUGCCCCGUGCCGGGGGAUACCGCCUGGAAACAGGCGCUAAUACCGCAUAAGCGCAUACAGCCGCAUGGGUGUAUGCGGAAAGCUCCGGCGGCACGGGAUGGGCCCGCGCCCGAUUAGCCAGUUGGCGGGGUAACGGCCCACCAAAGCGACGAUCGGUAGCCGGCCUGAGAGGGCGGACGGCCACAUUGGGACUGAGACACGGCCCAAACUCCUACGGGAGGCAGCAGUGGGGAAUAUUGCACAACGGGGGAAACCCUGAUGCAGCAACGCCGCGUGGGUGAAGGAGCGUUUCGGCGCGUAAAGCCCUGUCAGCGGGGAAGAAGAAAGACGGUACCCGACCAAGAAGCCCCGGCUAACUACGUGCCAGCAGCCGCGGUAAUACGUAGGGGGCGAGCGUUAUCCGGAAUUACUGGGUGUAAAGGGAGCGUAGACGGCGAGGUAAGCCUGAAGUGGAAGCCCGCGGCCCAACCGCGGAACUGCUUUGGGAACUGUUUUGCUGGAGUAUGGGAGGGGUAAGCGGAAUUCCUGGUGUAGCGGUGAAAUGCGUAGAUAUCAGGAGGAACACCGGUGGCGAAGGCGGCUUACUGGACCAUAACUGACGUUGAGGCACGAAAGCGUGGGGAGCGAACAGGAUUAGAUACCCUGGUAGUCCACGCCGUAAACGAUGAUUACCAGGUGUCGGGUGUCGAAGGACGGCCGGUGCCGCAGCGAACGCAGUAAGU